AGUGAACGCUGGCGGUAGGCCUAACACAUGCAAGUCGAACGGCAGCACAGUAAGAGCUUGCUCUUACGGGUGGCGAGUGGCGGACGGGUGAGGAAUACAUCGGAAUCUACUUUUUCGUGGGGGAUAAUGUAGGGAAACUUACGCUAAUACCGCAUACGACCUACGGGUGAAAGCAGGGGAUCUUCGGACCUUGCGCGAUUGAAUGAGCCGAUGUCGGAUUAGCUAGUUGGCGGGGUAAAGGCCCACCAAGGCGACGAUCCGUAGCUGGUCUGAGAGGAUGGUCAGCCACACUGGAACUGAGACACGGUCCAGACUCCUACGGGAGGCGGCAGUGGGGAAUAUUAGACAAUGGGCGCAAGCCUGAUCCAGCCAUACCGCGUGGGUGAAGAAGGCCUUCGGGUUGUAAAGCCCUUUUGUUGGGAAAGAAAAGCAGCAGGUUAAUACCCCGCUGUUCUGACGGUACCCAAAGAAUAAGCACCGGCUAACUUCGUG
rnacentral:rRNA from 1 species